UGCCAGCAGCCGCGGUAAUACGGAGGGCGCAAGCGUUGUUCGGAAUUACUGGGCGUAAAGCGCGGGCAGGCGGUCUGUUAAGUCUUUUGUGAAACUCCGGGGCUCAACUCCGGACAUGCAGAAGAUACUGGCAGACUGGAGACCAGUAGAGGCUAGCGGAAUUCCUGGUGUAGCGGUGGAAUGCGUAGAUAUCAGGAAGAACACCUGUGGCGAAGGCGGCUAGCUGGGCUGGAUCUGACGCUGAACUGCGAAAGCGUGGGGAGCAAACAGGAUUAGAUA
rnacentral:rRNA from 1 species